UACGUAGGGGGCAAGCGUUGUCCGGAAUCAUUGGGCGUAAAGAGCGUGUAGGCGGCCAGAUAAGUCCGCUGUGAAAUCUCGAGGCUCAACUUCGAGCUGUCGGUGGAAACUGUCUGGCUAGAGUCCGGAAGAGGAGAAUGGAAUUCCUGGUGUAGCGGUGAAAUGCGCAGAUAUCAGGAAGAACACCCGUGGCGAAGGCGGUUCUCUGGGACGGUACUGACGCUGAGACGCGAAAGCGUGGGGAUCAAACAGG
rnacentral:rRNA from 1 species